CACUUCAGAGCUCCUUUUACUGAAGAGUAUUAUGCGCUCUGGAUCACGUUGCUGCAACCAAUCUGCAGGGUCUGGUAGUUUCACCAGGCAGGACUGUAUUUGCUGUCAUCUCUGAUCCUUGUGGCCUUCCUGGCAGGAUUCUCAGGGUCCUGCCGGUCUCAGCAGAGCAACCCGCAGCCUUGAGCAUUACACAGUCUUACAACUUUUAUGGAUUCUGCCACCACAACAUUCUGGCAAUGAAAAUACUUUAAGAAAAACCCUGCUACAUCUUCUCUCUCUGAUUUGAGGAAUGGUAGCAAAAAGAUUCGUAUGUAUAUAUGAAUGAUCAAGGAAGCAGAUGUGGCUGUCCUUACUGGGAUCUUCACCCCAAUAUUCACACACGAGCUCUGUUUCCUGUCCUAUCAUCUGAACACAGGACAAGUGCUUGACCAGGAUCUGCUGGUAUUCAUGACAACAAAUAAGGGUGAGUGCCCUACAGAUUUCUCUCAUCCAACAAGGUCUCUCUUCUGGCUUUGAAAAGGUAACCCCUUGGCUGCAGUGCUCAUUCUGGGCAUAC
rnacentral:sRNA from 1 species